GUUCUUAGCAAGUUUAAAUAUUUAAUUGAAUAAAAAAUAAUUAAACAGUAAAAUAGAAAAAAUUAAAAAAUUAAAAGAACCAAAUUUAUAAUUUUUCCGGAAACAAAAAAAACUUUAUGCUGGAUGAACAAAAGUGGGUCUGACGAAAUCCGGCCCGAUUCCAUCCAAGUUAUUAUAGUUGUUACCAAACAGCACCCGUGCGGUCCCACAAACAAAAAAGGCCAAAGAAUUUUCCAAAAAUAAAAAAGGAAAAGGCAACGAACGACCAAAAGCAUGUUAGCUGGCAAUUGCGGCUUUUAUUUGUAACGGCUAUGAAUCCCAUGAAUUCUGUAAUUCACAGGCUGGUAGGUUGUUCGGUCAGUUUUUACACAAACAACGUCGUCGUAUUGGAGGUUGUGAAAGGAACUUGCAAGGCGCUGUCUAUAAAUAGCAGACGAAGAAACCCUAAAAGCAACUCGAGCGUUGCUCUGACCACGUUGUUCAUUCCUCUUCCUAAAAUGGUUUCUCUUUUUUUUUGUCGCUCUUUCAAUUACCGAAAAGGCGAAUCCAUUUUAGGAAGGGAAUGAACACUGUCUUCAGAGUGAAAUACUAUCACCCAAAGACACAAGAUUGAUAAUUCUUUCUCCAGAUCACAUUUAUGUUUUUGGUGAUGAAAUGGAGUCUGGAGUUGCUUGUAUGUACGGAAGACGUGGCUGUUCCUGUUCCUUGAUAAACAAAUUGAUUGUUCACUUUGCAGUCCUAAAGCGUGUUGAAAGCUCUUCAAAUUGACUUUACUACCAUAUUCCAGGGCUUUUAAGAUCUUUUUCAUUUUAGUUUCUCAUAACCCUCUUUUGUACUUCUCGCUCUGCCCAUAUGAAAUGUUGUUAACAGGGCGAAUAAGUUUGUCCCGCCGUAGGAUGAAUACACACACCUGUGGAAAUAUAUUGUAGAUAUGGCUGGUUCAUGUAAUUUCUGGAAACUAUCAAACUAAAGCUUCAACCAUAGUGAUAGGCGAUAGCACCAGCAGUGAGAUGAGGAAAAUGCUGAGAACUUCGAGUAACGCGACGCAAGGAGAACAUGGGGCUGGGGACAUAAGUUGGUUAAUCGUGGGGGGUAAGGCAUGGCAUCAUAUCUUCUCUGUGACUACGAGUUAGAACCUAAGUGAUUACUUUAAUGGUAGUCUUUACAUUUUCCCUUCCGCUCGUAGUAUGGGGAAGAAUUGGACUUUAGGGGUAUUACUAAUUGAAUUGAGAAAUCAAACUCUAUCGCUUGUUUUUAGGUCGUUAUGCAAAGAUUAAAGAUUUUUAAAUUUAAAGAUGAAA